AACGAACGCUGGCGGCAUGCCUAACACAUGCAAGUCGAACGGGAUCCUAGCUUGCUAGGUGAGAGUGGCGGACGGGUGAGUAACACGUGGGAAUCUGCCUUUUGGUUCGGGAUAACCGCGGGAAACUGCGGCUAAUACCGAAUGCCCUCGUGAGAGGAAAGAUUUAUCGCCAGAAGAGGAGCCCGCGUCCGAUUAGGUAGUUGGUGGGGUAAAGGCCUACCAAGCCGACGAUCGGUAGCUGGUCUGAGAGGAUGAUCAGCCACACUGGGACUGAGAUACGGCCCAGACUCCUACGGGAGGCAGCAGUGGGGAAUAUUGGACAAUGGGGGCAACCCUGAUCCAGCAAUGCCGCGUGGGUGAUGAAGGCCUUCGGUUGUAAAGCCCUUUUGGCGGGGACGAUGAUGACGGUACCCGCAGAAGAAGCCCCGGCUAACUCGUGCCAGCAGCCGCGGU
rnacentral:rRNA from 1 species